rnacentral:sRNA from 1 species
ACAGGGCAUGGUGGUGCAUGCCUGUAAUCCCAGCGAUUUAGGAGGUUGAAACAGAAGGAUUGCAAAUUUGAGGUCAGCCUCUGCAAUUUAGCAAGACCCUGUCUCAA